rnacentral:rRNA from 1 species
GAUGAACGCUGGCGGCGUGCCUAAUACAUGCCAGUCGAGCGAACAGACGAGGAGCUUGCUCCUCUGACGUUAGCGGCGGACGGGUGAGUAACACGUGGAUAACCUACCUAUAAGACUGGGAUAACUUCGGGAAACCGGAGCUAAUACCGGAUAAUAUAUUGAACCGCAUGGUUCAAUAGUGAAAGACGGUUUUGCUGUCACUUAUAGAUGGAUCCGCGCCGCAUUAGCUAGUUGGUAAGGUAACGGCUUACCGAGGCAACGAUGCGUAGCCGACCUGAGAGGGUGAUCGGCCACACUGGAACUGAGACACGGUCCAGACUCCUACGGGAGGCAGCAGUAGGGAAUCUUCCGCAAUGGGCGAAAGCCUGACGGAGCAACGCCGCGUGAGUGAUGAAGGUCUUCGGAUCGUAAAACUCUGUUAUUAGGGAAGAACAAAUGUGUAAGUAACUAUGCACGUCUUGACGGUACCUAAUCAGAAAGCCACGGCUAACUACGUG